rnacentral:rRNA from 1 species
UCGGCGUCCGAGUUGUAAUUUGUAGAGGAUGCUAUUGAGUUGUCACCGGUCUAAGUUCCUUGGAACAGGACGUCAUAGAGGGUGAGAAUCCCGUAUGUGACCGGCCAGACGCUCUCUGUAUAGCUCCUUCGACGAGUCGGGUUGUUUGGGAAUGCAGCCCUAAAUGGGAGGUAAAUUUCUUCUAAAGCUAAAUACCGGCCAGAGACCGAUAGCGCACAAGUAGAGUGAUCGAAAGAUGAAAAGCACUUUGGAAAGAGAGUUAAAAAGCACGUGAAAUUGUUGAAAGGGAAGCGCUUGCAAUCAGUCUCGACGGCGGCUGUUCGGCCUCUCUUCUGAGUGGUUUAUUCAGUCGCCGCCGGGCCAGCAUCAGUUCUGGCGGUCGGAUAAAGACGCGGGGAAUGUAGCUCCUCUCGGGGAGUGUUAUAGCCUCGCGUGCAAUACGGCCUGCCGGGACUGAGGUCCGCGCUUCGGCUAGGAUGCUGGCGAAAUGGUUGUAAGCGGCCCGUCUUGAAACACGGACCAAGGAGUCUAACAUCUAUGCGAGUGUUUGGGUGUCAAACCCGUACGCGUAAUGAAAGUGAACGGAGGUGGGAACCGCAAGGUGCACCAUCGACCGAUCCUGAUGUCUUCGGAUGGAUUUGAGUAAGAGCAUAGCUGU